CCACUCAUGGCGUAGCGAUAACGCGUCCUAUCUAGUGAACAGGAAGUCGUGAGUUCGAUUCUCACCGAGGAGA
rnacentral:tRNA from 1 species